rnacentral:lncRNA from 1 species
GACACCCACCUGGGAGGCGAGGACUUCGACAACCGGAUGGUGAACCACUUCGUGCAAGAGUUCAAGAGGAAGAACAAGAAGGACAUCAGCGGCAACCCGAGGGCGCUCCGGCGGCUGAGGACGGCGUGCGAGAGGGCGAAGAGGACCCUCUCUUCCACCGCCCAGACCACCAUUGAGAUCGACUCGCUCUACGAGGGGAUCGACUUCUACGCGACCAUCACCCGUGCCAGGUUCGAGGAGCUCAACAUGGACCUCUUCCGCAAGUGCAUGGAGCCCGUCGAGAAGUGCCUCCGGGACGCCAAGAUGGACAAGACCCAAAUCCACGACAUCGUGCUCGUCGGAGGCUCCACCCGGAUCCCCAAGGUGCAGCAGCUCCUCCAGGACUUCUUCAACGGGAAGGAGCUCUGCAAGAGCAUCAACCCCGACGAGGCCGUCGCGUACGGCGCCGCCGUCCAGGCCGCCAUCCUCAGCGGCGAGGGCAACCAGAAGGUGCAGGACCUGCUCCUGCUCGACGUGACGCCGCUCUCGCUCGGGUUGGAGACGGCCGGAGGCGUGAUGACGACCCUGAUCCCGAGGAACACCACCAUCCCCACCAAGAAGGAGCAGGUCUUCUCAACCUACUCGGACAACCAGCCCGGCGUGCUGAUCCAGGUGUACGAGGGCGAGAGGACGAGGACCAAGGACAACAACCUGCUGGGCAAGUUCGAGCUGUCCGGCAUCCCGUCGGCGCCCAGGGGCGUACCCCAGAUCACGGUGACCUUCGACAUCGACGCGAACGGCAUCCUGAACGUGUCGGCGGAGGACAAGACGACCGGGCAGAAGAACAAGAUCACCAUCACCAACGACAAGGGGCGGCUGAGCAAGGAGGAGAUCGAGCGCAUGGUGCAGGAGGCGGAGAAGUACAAGUCGGAGGACGAGCAGGUGCGGCACAAGGUGGAGGCCCGCAACGCGCUGGAGAACUACGCGUACAACAUGCGCAACACGGUGCGGGACGAGAAGAUCGCGUCCAAGCUCCCCGCCGACGACAAGAAGAAGAUCGAGGACUCCAUCGAGGACGCCAUCAAGUGGCUCGACGGCAACCAGCUCGCCGAGGCCGACGAGUUCGAGGACAAGAUGAAGGAGCUGGAGAGCAUCUGCAACCCCAUCAUCUCCAAGAUGUACCAGGGUGCUGGCCCGGGCGGCGCGGCCGGCAUGGACGAGGACAUGCCCGGCGGCGGCGCGGGCACCGGCGGUGGGAGCGGUGCCGGGCCCAAGAUCGAAGAAGUGGACUGAGUGAGUCGUGACAGGUCCUGGAGUGGUAGUGUGUUCUGUUGCCUGUGGUCGUGUGUGGUUCUGUCGAAUAACGAGGACGCUUGUAUGAGUGUAGUUAUUAAUGAUGUAGUACUAGGUUAGUAGAGGAAAUGAUAAAUAAUGUGUAAACGCAAGAACGACAUACACAUGUGGUUCUUGUACUACUAUGUUGUUUUUGCCUGAGUUCAGGAGAUGAAAAAUAUGUUCGUUGUCCUUGAUUACCGAAAAAGGGUUUGCCCGCUUUAUAUUACCACAAACAGUUCACAA